rnacentral:rRNA from 1 species
GUAGUCAUAUGCUUGUCUCAAAGAUUAAGCCAUGCAUGUCUAAGUAUAAGCAAUUAUACGGCGAAACUGCGAAUCGCUCAUUAAAUCAGUUAUCGUUUAUUUGAUAGUACCUUGCUACAUGGAUAACCGUGGUAAUUCUAGAGCUAAUACAUGCUAAAAAUCCCGACUUCGGAAGGGAUGUAUUUAUUAGAUUAAAAACCAAUGCCCUUCGGGGCUCUCUGGUGAUUCAUAAUAACUUCUCGAAUCGCACGGCCUUGCGCCGGCGAUGGUUCAUUCAAAUUUCUGCCCUAUCAACUUUCGACGGCUGGGUCUUGGCCAGCCAUGGUGACAACGGGUAACGGAGGGUUAGGGCUCGACCCCGGAGAAGGAGCCUGAGAAACGGCUACUACAUCCAAGGAAGGCAGCAGGCGCGCAAAUUACCCAAUCCCGACUCGGGGAGGUAGUGACAAUAAAUACUGAUACAGGGCUCUUUUGGGUCUUGUAAUUGGAAUGAGUACAAUUUAAAUCCCUUAACGAGGAACAAUUGGAGGGCAAGUCUGGU